UACGAAGGGGGCUAGCGUUGCUCGGAAUCACUGGGCGUAAAGCGCACGUAGGCGGAUUUCUAAGUCGGGGGUGAAAUCCUGGAGCUCAACUCCAGAACUGCCUUCGAUACUGGGAAUCUUGAGUCCGGGAGAGGUGAGUGGAACUGCGAGUGUAGAGGUGAAAUUCGUAGAUAUUCGCAAGAACACCAGUGGCGAAGGCGGCUCACUGGCCCGGUACUGACGCUGAGGUGCGAAAGCGUGGGGAGCAAACAGG
rnacentral:rRNA from 1 species